rnacentral:rRNA from 1 species
CCUUACACAUGCAGUCGAACGGCAGCGCGGACUUCGGUCUGGCGGCGAGUGGACAUUUGGUGAGUAUACAUCGGAACGUACCCUGUUGUGCCCUAUAACUAGUCGAAAGAUUAGCUAAUACCGCAUACGACCUGAGGGUGAAAGCGGGGGACCGCAAGGCCUCGCGCAGCAGGAGCGGCCGAUGUCUGAUUAGCUAGUUGGUGGGGUAAAGGCCCACCAAGGCGACGAUCAGUAGCUGGUCUGAGAGGACGAUCAGCCACACUGGGACUGAGACACGGCCCAGACUCCUACGGGAGGCAGCAGUGGGGAAUUUUGGACAAUGGGGGCAACCCUGAUCCAGCAAUGCCGCGUGUGUGAAGAAGGCCUUCGGGUUGUAAAGCACUUUUGUCCUGAAAGAAAACGUUCUGGUUAAUACCUGGGGCGGAUGACGGUACCGGAAGAAUAAGCACCGGCUAACUACGUGCCAGCAGCCGCGGUAAUACGUAGGGUGCGAGCGUUAAUCGGAAUUACUGGGCGUAAAGCGUGCGCAGGCGGUUUUGUAAGACAGGCGUGAAAUCCCCGAGCUCAACUUGGGAAUUGCGCUUGUGACUGCAAGGCUAGAGUAUGUCAGAGGGGGGUAGAAUUCCACGUGUAGCAGUGAAAUGCGUAGAGAUGUGGAGGAAUACCGAUGGCGAAGGCAGCCCCCUGGGACGUCACUGACGCUCAUGCACGAAAGCGUGGGGAGCAAACAGGAUUAGAUACCCUGGUAGUCCACGCCCUAAACGAUGUCAACUAGUUGUUGGGGAUUCAUUUUCUCAGUAACGUAGCUAACGCGUGAAGUUGACCGCCUGGGGAGUACGGUCGCAAGAUUAAAACUCAAAGGAUUGACGGGGACCCCACAAGCGGUGGAUGAUGGGGAUUAUUCGAUGCACGCGAAAAACCUACCUACCCUUGACUGCCACUAACAAGCAAAGUGCAUCAGGGGCCAAAGGGAAGUGGACACGGUGCUGCUGGCUGUCGUCACUCUGUCGGGAAUGUUGGGUUAUUCCCGCACCAGCGCACCUUUACUUUGUUGCUACCAAGGGCCCUUUAAAAAAGGCCGGGAAAACCGGAAAAGGGGGGGAAGAC